rnacentral:rRNA from 1 species
AACGCUAGCUACAGGCUUAACACAUGCAAGUCGCGGGGCAGCAUUUCCUUAGCUUGCUAAGGAAGAUGGCGACCGGCGCACGGGUGAGUAACGCGUAUCCAACCUUCCCAUGUCCACGGGAUAGCCCGUCGAAAGGCGGAUUAAUACCGUAUGAGGUCACAUGCGGGCAUCUAAGUGUGACGAAAGGUUUUGCGGACAUGGAUGGGGAUGCGUCCGAUUAGCUAGUUGGCGGGGUAACGGCCCACCAAGGCGACGAUCAGUAGGGGUUCUGAGAGGAAGGUCCCCCACAUUGGAACUGAGACACGGUCCAAACUCCUACGGGAGGCAGCAGUGAGGAAUAUUGGUCAAUGGGCGAGAGCCUGAACCAGCCAAGUAGCGUGCAGGAUGACGGCCCUAUGGGUUGUAAACUGCUUUUAUAAGGGAAUAAAGUGAGAGUCGUGACUCUUUUUGCAUGUACCUUAUGAAUAAGGACCGGCUAAUUCCGUGCCAGCAGCCGCGGUAAUACGGAAGGUCCGGGCGUUAUCCGGAUUUAUUGGGUUUAAAGGGAGCGUAGGCCGGAGAUUAAGCGUGUUGUGAAAUGUAGACGCUCAACGUCUGCACUGCAGCGCGAACUGGUUUCCUUGAGUACGCACAAAGUGGGCGGAAUUCGUGGUGUAGCGGUGAAAUGCUUAGAUAUCACGAAGAACUCCGAUUG